GGCAGCACUGGGAGAGCGACCUGGUAGCUGGCAGAUAUAGCCCCCCUUGGCAUGAGCGAUUGCCAUGGGGAGCUUUCUGCGCUCUUCAAAUCUCUGAAAAGAGUUAGUGCAUUUGCUACAAGCCCGUGUAUCGCCGCGAGCUUGUUCAUGCGGAUACCGCAUCGCUCGAGGAGAACAGCGUUCUCCUCGCGGUUCCGUGGCCCCA
rnacentral:ncRNA from 2 species